UACGAAGGGGGCUAGCGUUGCUCGGAAUCACUGGGCGUAAAGGGUGCGUAGGCGGGUCUUUAAGUCAGGGGUGAAAUCCUGGAGCUCAACUCCAGAACUGCCUUUGAUACUGAAGAUCUUGAGUUCGGGAGAGGUGAGUGGAACUGCGAGUGUAGAGGUGAAAUUCGUAGAUAUUCGCAAGAACACCGGUGGCGAAGGCGGUGGUCUGGGCCGGCACUGACGCUGAGACGCGAAAGCGUGGGGAGCGAACAGG
rnacentral:rRNA from 1 species